UUUAUUAGAAAAAAUAAAAAUUAUAAUUAAAAAACGAGAGCACAACUGGGUUUUGGUGGCUCGCGAGUGAGAGAAAAUCGUGAGAAUAUCUUCUACCUUAGGUAGUAGAUUACACAAGCCAAGCGAAGCGAGGCAAAAUAUCGGUGAAAACGACGAAAAAAAAAACAAGAAAAACAAUAAAGUGCCCUUAAGACCGGCUAUAAAGUGUUGUCGGCCAAUCUGUUCGGGUGUGAGUGCGUGCGUGUGUUUGGAAAUAAAAUCAAUCAAUAAAAAUAGUGGUCGCCCGCCCGUCCGUCCCUCCGUUUGCAGGGAAAAGGCAACAACAAAUUAAUUUCGUUUCAAGUGACCACAACAAAAGAUAAAGAAGUGCCCUCCACGAAAAUUUUUGUUAAAGUGUCGUGUAUUCAGAUUAAAAAUAUAUACAACAACAACAACAUCAACAAUUCCUCUCCCUCUCUAUUUCUCGUCGAACUUACUAGUACUGCUGUACUGCUACCACAACUCCAUACAGAUUCUCCCACUCCCUCAAAGCUGUGUCCUACUUAAUAACCUAUUGCAAUAAUAAAAACGAAAACCAACAGCUACAACCUAUCAUUGACUGCAUUUAUAAUCUCUGAACAAAAAAAAAAAAAAAAAAAAAAAAAA
rnacentral:sRNA from 1 species